UAGGGAAUAUUGGUAAUGUGCGAAAGCGCGAACCAGCAACGCCGCGUGCACGAUGAAGGCCUUCGGGUUGUAAAGUGCUUUUUAGAGGGAUGAGGAAGGACAGUACUUCUAGAAUAAGCCUCGGCUAACUACGUGCCAGCAGCCGCGGUAAAACGUAGGAGGCUAGCGUUAUCCGGAUUUACUGGGCGUAAAGCGCGUGCAGGUGGUUUCGUAAGUUGGAUGUGAAAGCUCCUAGCUUAACUGGGAGAGGUCGUUCAAGACUGCGGGACUAGAGAGUGGUAGAGGAAGGUGGAAUUCCGGGUGUAGUGGUGAAAUGCGUAGAUAUCCGGAGGAACACCAGUGGCGAAAGCGGCCUUCUGGACCAUUUCUGACACUCAGACGCGAAAGCUAAGGUAGCAAACG
rnacentral:rRNA from 1 species